UGUCUGCUUUUCCAUCAGGCACUGGGCCUGCCUCUCCACAGCCUCCAGCUCGACCUGCACCGAAUGCAGCUCGACCGUGUCCUCACCUGCA